rnacentral:rRNA from 1 species
CGCGUAGGUAACCUGCCUGGUAGUGGGGGAUAACUAUUGGAAACGAUAGCUAAUACCGCAUAAUAACAGUUGUUGCAUGACAACUGUUUGAAAGGUGCAAUUGCAUCACUACCAGAUGGACCUGCGUUGUAUUAGCUAGUUGGUGAGGUAACGGCUCACCAAGGCAACGAUACAUAGCCGACCUGAGAGGGUGAUCGGCCACACUGGGACUGAGACACGGCCCAG